ensembl:lncRNA
ACAUUAUACUGUUGAAAAAAAAUUUCAACCUACACUUUAACUGUAGUAAAACUUCAAAUAACUUCGCUGGCUGGGUCUAAACUUCACUGUAGUUAACUAGUGUAGUGUGUUUUCAGUACGUAGCCAAUCAGAAAGCAGCAUUCAAAGAUAGCCACGCCCCGAAUAACAGUCAUUGGACCAAUCGAUUUAAAUAAAGAAAAGAUGACGUAGUUUUGUGAUUGUGUCAGUCUGAGGCUUGUAUGUUUUAUAAUCCUUCUUUUUAAAUAUUAUGUACAGCUUUAUGCAUUAAAAACAAUAGCUUCCCUUAUAAAAAUAAAAAUGUACAAACUAUAAACUCUUUCUGUUCUACAAUGAUCUUUUCUGGAGGAGGUUUCCACGGUUGCUAAGCAACCAAACUACGCUUCAGCGUGCUCCAGACGGCUGCUGUGUGGACUACAUUAUUAAUGGAGCUACAGACAUGAAACCUGUCCGACAAGCCAUAUGUCAAGCAGAAAAAAAGGAGAAUACUCCAGCUAGUUUAUUGAUAACUCCACGAGCUCAUCAUCGGAUCAGUUCGCUGGAGGAGACGUCAUAAACUUACCCCUUUAACACAGAUGACAGGAGUGUGUUUGUAACUGCAGAGACCGUCAGACCGUGCACAUGGAUAGAGAUUCAGAAGAAUCAGAAGAGGAUGUUCAAGAAGAGGGCAAAGCCUCUGUUUUAUGGGAGAGAUGUUUUGAGCAGAGCAUCUUUGUAGACCUCAGUGAGGAUGAAAGCAUCCACCUCAGUGAUCUGGACAAUUCUUUGGCUUUGCAUGUGUCUCGAGCAGAGUCUGCACCCUCUGAAAACAGCAUCCAUCUCAGUGGAAGUGCAGAGUUGUCAGCGUUGGAUGACUCCCCAUCGGAGAGCAGUCGAUCUAACAGUAACUGUGAGAAUGUGACUGAGGGUAAAACAGGGAGCAGUAAGUUGCCAAUGUCUCCUCAGAGACCAAACACCUUACAGAAUGAGUUUCCCCAAAAGCCUGGGUGUGGGGAAUCAGGAGGAAAUACCAGUGAUGAGGAUCAGGAGGACUUACCGUAUGAUGGUGACGUUGGAAGCCCGUACUUCAACCAGACAACUAGCUCAGAAGAAAAUUCGGACGGAGGGAACACCGUUCAUGGAAGUCCUGAUCCUCCGGCUCCACUGGAAUCGUUCCACAAAGACGCCAACACAGAUGAAGAAAAACCCUCUGCAGCUUCUGAGGCAACUGGGUUGGCUAAUCCUUGUUCAGAUCUGACAAACAUCAACCAUUUGCUGCUCCAGCAUUUUUCCCAGGAAGAGUUAUUGGGAUCCGGAAGGCUGAUUGAAGCAGAAACGCUGCCAGAAGUGUCCCUACUGGAGAGCGUGGACGACACUGUUGUCAGCUUCUCAGCCUACAACCAUGCAGAAAACUUAAGGAAGCAAACAGAAAGCUUUGAGGAAAGAAGUGAUUCCAAAUCAAACAAUGAAAGCUCAGAGGUAAAGACAGAAAAGGAAAUUGAUCAUCCAACAUCUAAUGCUUCUGCAAGUUCAAACCAGAGCAUUCAGAACACGAAUGCAGAUCUGUUGGAGCUUGAUGAUAAGAAAGAGGAUGUGCGAAUUCAAACAGUUCCUCUUUUGCGGACCAGAUCUCUUGGCGAGAUUAAAUAUGGUCAAGGCAAGGUUCAUUAUCGUCUUCCUGAUUUUUCCAAAGUGCCUUCUAAAGUAAAAAUCCCCAAAGCUCCAAGUGGUCCAGUGAAGCCUGUCCCUCCCCACUCUGACAGUGUACCCAGAGCCCAGUCUUCUCCUGACAUCUUAGAUGUGAUCAGCAGAGUCCUGGAGGACUUUGUCCAUCCUUCAGAGAAGCCCUACGUCUUCAACGCCAACGACAGACAGACUCCGUCAGUACCGCUGCAUCAUCUGCAGGUGGUUUUCGUAGAUUUAAAAGUUAGUGGAAACUGUUUCACAAGCAUUUUUAAUCA